CCUACGUGGGUCAGCAGUGAGGAAUCUUGGUCAAUGGGCGGAAGCCUGAACCAGCCACGUAGCGUGCAGGAUGACGGCCCUACGGGUUGUAAACUGCUUUUAUACGGGAAUAACGCGCCUUACGUGUAGGGCUUUGCAUGUACCGUAUGAAUAAGGACCGGCUAAUUCCGUGCCAGCAGCCGCGGUAAUACGGAAGGUCCGGGCUUUAUCCGGAUGUAUUGGGUUUAAAGGGAGCGUAGGCCGCAUGUCAAGCGUGCUGUGAAAUGUCCGGGCUCAACCCGGGCCGUGCAGCGCGAACUGGCGUGCUUGAGUCCGCGGAAAGCAGGCGGAAUUCGUCGUGUAGCGGUGAAAUGCUUAGAUAUGACGAAGAACCCCGAUUGCGAAGGCAGCUUGCUGCAGCGGAACUGACGCUGAUGCUCGAAAGCGCGGGUAUCGAACAGGAUUAGAUACCCUUGUAGUC
rnacentral:rRNA from 1 species